rnacentral:rRNA from 1 species
UACGUAGGGGGCGAGCGUUGUCCGGAUUCAUUGGGCGUAAAGAGCUCGUAGGCGGCUUGGCAAGUCGGGUGUGAAAACUCCAGGCUCAACCUGGAGACGCCACCCGAUACUGCCAUGGCUUGAGUCCGGUAGGGGACCACGGAAUUCCUGGUGUAGCGGUGAAAUGCGUAGAUAUCAGGAGGAACACCUGUGGCGAAAGCGGCUCACUGGACCAUAACUGACGCUGAUGCACGAAAGCUAGGGGAGCAAACAGG